GGCGGACUUGAGUCCCUUCAGCGACACCGGUUGAUUGAAGAGGUUCAACGAUGGAAGUUUCGAAGCCGCCGGUAAUUUCCCAUUCGGACAACAAGUUUGAGGAUCUGAUCUUUUGACUCAAAGAAGUAUGUAUCAAUUACCGUUGAAUUAUGCUUACUUUGGUAAAAACGAUGUGUUUGAGUGCCUAUUUCAGGUUUUGAACCUCCAAUCUCGAGGGAAGAAGGCUCUUAAAGGUUCAAUUUUAUCUUUUGUAUGUUAAGUUCUUAGUUUAAAUCUAAUUCUCGAGAGCACUAAAUACAUAUUUAUCGAA